rnacentral:rRNA from 1 species
UUGGAGGGCAAGUCUGGUGCCAGCAGCCGCGGUAAUUCCAGCUCCAAUAGCGUAUAUUAAAGUUGUUGCAGUUAAAAAGCUCGUAGUUGAAUUUCGGGAUCAGAGUGUCGGUCGUGCCUCGGUACGAACUGGUAUUAUUGGUUCCUACCUUCUGAAGAACCGCGAUGUCAUUAAUUUGGUGUCGUGGGGAAUCAGGACUGUUACUUUGAAAAAAUUAGAGUGUUUAAAGCAGGCUUACGCUUGAAUACAUUAGCAUGGAAUAAUGAAGUAGGACGUUUGAUUCUAUUUUGUUGGUUUCUAGGAUUGACGUAAUGAUUAAUAGGGAUAGUUGGGGGCAUUAGUAUUCAAUUGUCAGAGGUGAAAUUCUUGGAUUUAUUGAAGACUAACUACUGCGAAAGCAUUUGCCAAGGAUGCUUUCAUUAAUCAAGAACGAAAGUUAGGGGAUCGAAGACGAUCAGAUACCGUCGUAGUCUUAACCAUAAACUAUGCCGACUAGGGAUCGGAUGAUGUUAAUUUUUUAAUGACUCAUUCGGCGCCUUACGGGAAACCAAAGUGUUUGGGUUC